rnacentral:rRNA from 1 species
GCCGGAGGGAAACCGAGUCUUAAUUGGGCGUUAAGUUGCAGGGUAUAGACCCGAAACCCGGUGAUCUAGCCAUGGGCAGGUUGAAGGUUGGGUAACACUAACUGGAGGACCGAACCGACUAAUGUUGAAAAAUUAGCGGAUGACCUGUGGCUGGGGGUGAAAGGCCAAUCAAACCGGGAGAUAGCUGGUUCUCCCCGAAAGCUAUUUAGGUAGCGCCUCGUGAAUUCAUCUCCGGGGGUAGAGCACUGUUUCGGCUAGGGGGCCAUCCCGGCUUACCAACCCGAUGCAAACUGCGAAUACCGGAGAAUGUUAUCACGGGAGACACACGGCGGGUGCUAACGUCCGUCGUGAAGAGGGAAACAACCCAGACCGCCAGCUAAGGUCCCAAAGUCAUGGUUAAGUGGGAAACGAUGUGGGAAGGCCCAGACAGCCAGGAUGUUGGCUUAGAAGCAGCCAUCAUUUAAAGAAAGCGUAAUAGCUCACUGGUCGAGUCGGCCUGCGCGGAAGAUGUAACGGGGCUAAACCAUGCACCGAAGCUGCGGC